UGUCCCGAACUCCUCCUGCCCAGCUGGGGGACUCCCUGGAGGAGCUGGGCAGGCUCUUCCUGCAGCCGCUGGUCCCGACCCCACAGCAGCAGGGCUUGUCCAGCCGCCAUUCCUUCCACAUCUCUGCAGGUCCCUCUCCUUCUGCGCUGGGUCAACAGCCCCAGGCUAAGACAAGAACCCCUACUUGGGUCCGGCAACCCUUCCCUGUCCCUGCAGCCGCGUUUUGUCCUGGAGGCCACCAGGGGGCGUCGCAGGCCCACGCGUGAUCGGCGGGGACUGCGGAGGCGCCCUGGCUCCUAUCUCCAGGAGGCGGUGGGGCGGGGGUCGGAGCCUUUCGGGAGAUUUGGUGGCAGUGGUGGGAUCGAAGAAGAUUCCAGCAGCUUUGGUGACAAGGAGAAAAGCAGUCAUGAAAGAAGCUGCUGCUAGUGGUGAUCUCAGAGGCCAAAAAGCUGCAAAAACUGGUGACCACAGGUUGAGCACCUACAGGCUGUCAUCAGACCCAAGGCCUCGUGUGUUAGGAUAAGUCAGUUGCAGGAUGGGUUUGAUCGACUCUGGGCCACCAGCAAAUGCCAAGAAAACGUCUCAGCAGCAAGGUCCCCGUGGCACUUGCACAGCCCCUGUCCAGAAGCACAUCCCUUUGGGGUACCAGUUUGGCUCCAAGAAACCCAAAGCCUUGGCUCUUAGGAUCCUUGGAUUCCUGACUCCGAUACACUUGCUGAUUUGGGGUCUAACAGCUAUGGUCCCAGAAGUUACAAAUACUGACAAAAAUGGCGAACUGUCAUUAAAAACAACCUAGAAUGCGUGACUACCACGAGGAAUGUUAAUUGAGCAGCACCUGAGAGCAAGCAGGUGGACACUGAUUGUAGUUGGUGGGCAGAGGCCUCCAGAAGGCUUCAAGACUCUGAAAUGUCUUCAUUAAAAGGCGUCCUGCCUAAUGAGAAAGGAAAGACCUGAGAGGUGCCUGAACACGACGGUAGGCCUGACAUGGCUCCCACUGGCCCUGCCUGAGCGCCUGUGUGGUACCAGUUCUCUGUCUGGACAGCUUCCUGCUCGGAAGAGGCUAUCACACAGGUGCCUUUGAGAAGAAAGCCGCCGGCGUUGCCGCCAGUCCCCCUGAGAUCCUGAGCUCUCGUCCACUCUUUGGUCAAAGACCAAACCAAUGGGCAGAAUUUUAACGUUUCCUAAACCCAGGGUGCACCCCCCCAGAUAUUUUAGGUUUGGAGUCGUUACUGGGCUUCUGCCCCAGGGCUGCCAGAUCUUUAUCUGCCUGUGUGUGAGCUGGUUGGACUCAGGGUUCCCAAAAUGGACCUAGGAAGCAGGACGGCGGAGUCUCAAGGGGGAUAUUAGAGAUCCAUCGUCCGCACGGGGAAGCUCUUUCUAUGGCCUCCCAGGCUCCGCGCAAUAAACCGGGGCGCCCAGCCUGCUCUGGAUCCCGCGAGAUUAGAGGCUGAUAAAAAGGCAGGAAAUAGGAUGGGCGGCCCCCCCAUCUCAUGACCGAGGCUGAACACUUUGAAAGGACUUUGGACCAAGGUCAUUAACAAAGGUCCUUCAAAUGAGUGGCCUUACAGCCACAGCAGCUCCAAGGCAAGAACCCUAAAGUCACGCCUGGGCCCCCACAUCAUACCCUCGCGGUCCACCACCGACCCAUCGGCCCAAGGGUGUUUCAUCUGUGAUCCGCUGGGGCACCCAGAAAGCCGUCCUCGAAGGUGCCAAGGAAAUCCCUCAACAUCCACUCCCGCCACCAGAGGAGGCCCCUUGUGCCCCUCCCAGGGCUGACAGGACCCCCAAGGGGCCCGCCAGGAAACUGCUGGCGGGAAUAUCCUUAAACAGCCGAGGGGAAGCGACAGCUAACAUCACUGGACAAUCUUGCCAAAUUCUGAUCGAUACCGGGGCUGCCCUCGCUGCUUCACACCCACCCGCACAGGACAGCAGACUCCUCACGUGGGGUAGCUCGUUCAGAGAGCAUUUCUACCUCAGCCAGUGCGAAGGACGCCGGACCUGCUCCUGAACACGUUCCUUUUUGCUGCAGGUCGCCGGCCCCGCGCCCCGCGGGCAGCGGUCUCCUCCCUCCGCAGCGAGUGUGGGUGGGUCUCGCCUCCCGUGAGGCCUCGCUGGUGGCUGUGGACCAGCCUGGGCCUGGUCCUUUCGUGCCGCAGGCUGUCCCUGGCCCAGAGAGGAAGACGUUCCACAAAGCCCCCCCCCCCAUCUGUGGGCUGCGUCUAUAAAGAGGGCUGACCCUGUACCACCCUCAGCGACCAAACCCACCUCCCCUUCGACCCCGCGACAGCCGCGAAGGCCUCAGGCCGGGCCCGGUCUCACCUCUGGCGGGAGACUUAAGCGCCCGGGGACCGGCCCCCACAGCGCAGGUCCUGCCGGUCCGGGGCAGGAGGGGCCAGUGAUUUGCCCAGGGUCUGGGCGCUGUUGGCUGUCGGUGACGCGUCUCCUGCUGUUCGGAACCUGAACACCCUCGGCCACAAGAUCCGGCCGGUUCAAAACGGUUCCCUCUUGGCGGCCUUGGUUCAGGCCUCUCCCUGCCCCCUUAGACCCCAAGGCCAAGGCCUGUUCGCCUUUGCUCCAAACGAUCAGCAGCAGCCCCGGGGGGCCGUGCCCGAGAGGUUCCCGGGGCCCCUCCGGCUUCUCCCAAGUGCUCCGCCGAGCUGUAGGGCCCCUCUUACACCACGCCGGGGACCUGCUGUGCCCCGUCCCCAAAGACACAUCCAGGGAAGACCCCAGGCGUUUGCUGCAGCCGUUAGCCGGGAAAGGACAGUCUCCGGGAAGGUGACACUCAUCUCUAUCCACUCUUUGUUGCCUAGGUCGUAACUGAAGUGCUGGACAAUUCCGCCAUCUCCGAAAAGAAUUAAGCCGAUCCAGGAAUUACCCAGGCCCACAGCUAAGCGGCAGCCUUGGGCGUCUCUAGGCUGCGCUGGGCAUGGGCGACGCUGGGUUCCUGUGUCUUCUUGAUUUGCUCCCCCACUUUAUGCACGGACUUCUCAGUCCUGAGCCCCCUCCCCAGCAGGAUAAAUGGGAACUGGCCUUUCCGAGACUAAAACGCGUGCUGGGAGAACGCCCACCCUGGGCUGCCCAGCACUUCCAAACCUGUCACUUUAUUUGUGCCUGAGGAGCUAGGCCCUGGGAGGCUGUCGCAGGGACAGUCGGUCAGAAGCACCCUGACUCAGCGCUGGCACCCGCCUCAGCUGCCUUAAGGUCACAGCCGCAGCUGCAAAGUGGGCAGACGCAGCUUUGACGCUGGAGGUGAUGUGUACUUACCCUUCCCGCUGUCCAGAGUUUUCCCUCGGAACUGACCCAGCAUAGGCUUCUGACCCUACCCCUGCUUCCACCUCCACCACCUUCCUCUUAAAAUGUCCUCGGAGUUC